UGUCUGUGUGGCAAACUCUGCAAAGAUAAGAUGUGGCUGAAAGAAGUCAUCAUGGUGGUCUGGUCUCAAAGGAGAAGAUGAGGAAAGAGAACGUCUAUAUUAGCGGAGACGCCACUGGAUAUAAUAGGUAUGGGGUGCUGUACGAGGCUACUUUCAC